rnacentral:rRNA from 1 species
GACGAACGCUGGCGGCGUGCUUAACACAUGCAAGUCGAACGAUGAACUUGGAGCUUGCUCUGGGGGAUUAGUGGCGAACGGGGGAGUAAUACGUGAGUAACCUGCCCUGGACUCUGGGAUAACUUCGAGAAAUCGGAGCUAAUACCGGAUAGGACCUUGCAACGCAUGGUGUGGGGUUGAAAGUUUUUCGGUUUGGGAUGGACUGGCGGCCUAUCAGUUUGUUGGUGAGGUAAUGGCUGACCAAGGCGUCGACGGGUAGCCGGCCCGGGAGGGUGACCGGCCACACUGGGACUGAGACACGGCCCAGACUCCUACGGGAGGCAGCAGUGGGGAAUAUUGCACAAUGGGCGCAAGCCUGAUGCAGCAACGCCGCGUGCGGGAUGACGGCCUUCGGGUUGUAAACCGCUUUUAGUAGGGAAGAAGCCUUCGGGUGACGGUACCUGCAGAAAAAGGACCGGCUAACUACGUGCCAGCCGCCGCAGUAACAC